CGACCGCCUUUGUCUUCCCAGUGGGCGAUGUUUUUCACAGCACACCAGUCUGUUCAGAAGGGUGCGCGAGGCGCGUGCGAGUGGUUCGUGUGCUGGGCUCCUCUCUGAUUCGUGCACCACGGAGCACGUGACGUGCCGUGACGUCAGCCAAAUAGCUGCGUUCUUGCCACGCUCAAGGUUCCCGAAGGAUGACCUCGUACGAGAAGAUUGCACAGAAAGACAUUGGCAUGAAGCCUGCGAGGUCCUCAUCCACAGCCGCUUGGGCCGAAGCGGUCGCGGUCUACGAGGCGAACCAAGGUACUGAACAUCUGUGAAAUCGAGCUUUCGGGUUCAUCGUAUUCCUCCAGCGUGAAUAUAGAUUGAGAUUCUGACCAAAGACGAGGAAAGAAACCCCCCCGUGUAGCCGUAACAGACUUGGUGCAGGUGCUCAUCACGAGUACCAGUCAACACCACCACUCGCUUGCUUCAGUGGGAAACAACUUUGACUUGCCCGUGCUUGAUCGAUAGUAAACAAUUAUUUAAUACCGACGAUGAGUACGUUAGUAUAAUAAUAGGGGUUUUUCCCCUUUUUUCUGGCAACAAAACUGAAACC